GUGAAAUCCCUGCGCUCGGCUCUCGCUUGGAAGACUGCUCCCACGAGCCCCAGAAACCAAAAGCGUUUGUACGGACACGACGCUCCUGACAUAUCCGAGCCUGAGGCAAUUUUGAACAUCCAGUUUAAGUGGAAAGGGGGCAGGGCAGGGCAGGGAGGAAAGAAGAGAUAAGGAGAGCUGUGGAAACACCAUAAUCUUUCAUCCGCCUCUCGUUAACACGGACAGGCCGUCGGUGGCAUUUGGCCGCUGCUGGCUGGGUGCCGGCUCAUGGGACGGGUGCUCCCUGCCCUCCUCAGCCCCGGUGGGUCCAGAGGCCCUGGGAUCACAGCUCCCCGCUACCGCCGCCCCCAUGGGAAGGAGCUGCUGCCACUCCAGAGCGCAGACCCCACCGCAGACCCCCGGCAGACCCCGGCCCCACGGCCCAGCCUGGCUGGCUCCCUGCUCACAGGGCUCGGCCAUCAGAGCCCAGGUCACAAGCACAGUGGGCGAGAACGAAGCUACAGCCCCGUAAAAUCCUCACACGAGGAGACUCGGACUCUACAAAACAGGAAAAAAAGUGGAGUAGCUCUUUUUUACACGAUAAAGGUGGAAGAUCACUACUAUCAUUGCUACCGACCCCAGGGGAGAUGAGGAGGCGAGGAGCAAACCACAGGAAAGAUCAACGGCUUGAAGCCUUGGAGGGCGAAUUAAAAAUGUCAGAGGCCACCGGAGAAAGCUGUAACAUGAGCUGCCAGCUGUCAGCAUUUACGUCACCAAAAUAAGAGAGGCUAUUUUACCACAUUUGAGUCUCCAGGGUGGCAAUCGAUUUCUCCCAUAAGACGGGACUUUUGCCUCUGUGCUGAGCUACAUCCCUGGUACGCGGCCCCGCGCACCGACAGAGGCGACCACAGAGAGGAGGUAAAAGCAGAGGCAGGACUUCAGACAUACCUCUGCCUACGAGCCUUGGCUGGAAGGAAAUGACACCCAUUACCGUAACAAUGAAGUCAAUACCACUUCCCCCAGGCUAAAGCCGCUGUCCUGUCCAAAAAUGCUUUGUAAGGGUGAGGCACUAUUACUGUAAUUGAAAGGGAUUAGAGAGAAAAUUAAUCUCUUUCCCUCCCCGGCGAGUCUGAGGGCAGAGGCAUCAGCCUGCCACCUCCGGGGAGCGGGGCGGCCUCCCCAGCCUCCGUGGGGUCCCUGGGGCAGCAGGAGGCCCCCGGGCAGGCGGCAUGCAGAAACCCGCAAGUUUCGGCAUCCCGUUUGUCUCAAAGGGCAGCUCCCGAAAGCAGCAGUUCAGGUACAGCAGGAGUUCAGAUAAGGUUUGCAGCGCAGAGCCCGUUGCUGGAGGAAGAGGAUUUCAGUCUUCUGCAAUUCACGUCCUAUUCCUGCUUUUUCCUCCUUCCCUGCCGAGCGUGCGGUAAACUGAAAACAUUUCUGCGCUAAUAUACAGCUCAGACGGUGCAGAGCAACGGUGCGCUGCAGCCCAGGACCAGCGCCGGAGCUGGGAUUUGGCCGUGGCUGGCGAGCACGGAGCAGUUCCCAGGAGUAGCCAGCAAGGGGGGAACGAGGCGGAUCACCUUGGCGCUGGCCCUACAAGAAACGGCCACAGAUUACCCCAUAGCCAGGCAAGCCCUGCUGCCACAAUCCCGCUGACCCAGGAGAGGAGCCGGGUGUCAGAGCACGUCACCCCGUCCCAGAGGGACAGCAUCGCUGAUGGCCUCGGUCCCGCCAGCAGCGUCGCCUCUGAGCAGCCUUGGGCUCCGGGGAGCUUCAGGGACUCCCCGUGCACCUCCCUUACUGCCUGCCUUGCUUUAGCACGGCAUGUCUUCGAUCAUUUUAUUUAAAGGCAUUUCUAGCUUGUCCCUUAUCAAGAAUAUAUUAGGCUACAGGGAGACAUCAAUAAAAAGCAAGGUCUGGAAAACUUGCAAAA